GCUGGGCGUGCUGGCGGACGCCUGUAGUCCCAGCUACUUGGGAGGCUGAGGCAGGAGAAUUGCUUGAACCCAGGAGGCAGGGGUUGCAGUGUGCCGAGAUCAUGCCACUGCACUCCAGCCCGGGUGACAGAGCAAGUCUCCGUCUCAA
rnacentral:SRP_RNA from 1 species